GACGAACACUGGCGGCGUGCUUAACACAUGCAAGUCGAACGGUAAGGCCCUUCGGGGUACACGAGUGGCGAACGGGUGAGUAACACGUGGGUGAUCUGCCCUGCACUUCGGGAUAAGCCUGGGGAACUGGGCCUAAUACCGGAUAGGACCACUGCCUGCAUGGGUGGUGGUGGAAAGCUUUUGCGGUGUGGGAUGGGCCCGCGGCCUAUCAGCUUGUUGGUGGGGUGAUGGCCUACCAAGGCGACGACGGGUAGCCGGCCUGAGAGGGUGACCGGCCACACUGGGACUGAGAUACGGCCCAGACUCCUAUGGGAGGCAGCAGUGGGGAAUAUUGCACAAUGGGCGCAAGCCUGAUACAGCGACGCCGCGUGAGGGAUGACGGCCUUCGGGUUGUAAACCUCUUUCAGCACCGACGAAGCGCAAGUGACGGUAGGUGCAGAAGAAGGACCGGCCAACUACGUGCCAGCCGCCGCAGUAA
rnacentral:rRNA from 1 species